CGUAGGGUGCAAGCGUUGUCCGGAAUUAUUGGGCGUAAAGAGCUCGUAGGCGGUCUGUCGCGUCGGAUGUGAAAACCCAGGGCUCAACCCUGGGCCUGCAUUCGAUACGGGCAGACUAGAGUUCGGCAGGGGAGACUGGAAUUCCUGGUGUAGCGGUGAAAUGCGCAGAUAUCAGGAGGAACACCGGUGGCGAAGGCGGGUCUCUGGGCCGAUACUGACGCUGAGGAGCGAAAGCGUGGGGAGCGAACAGGAUUAGAUACCCUGGUAGUCCACGCCGUAAACGUUGGGCGCUAGGUGUGGGGAACCUUCCACGUUCUCCGUGCCGCAGCUAACGCAUUAAGCGCCCCGCCUGGGGAGUACGGCCGCAAGGCUA
rnacentral:rRNA from 1 species